rfam:Brassica napus, WGS project CCCW01000000 data, contig: 13069
GUAAUAUAAGAUACGGUCUUUUACCUUUUAACUAAAAAAGCUAAGAGACGUCUCUUAAAUAAGAGAUAUAAGAGACGUCUCUUAGCUUUUUUUAGUUAAAAACUAAAAGACCGUAUCUUAUAUUAC